rnacentral:rRNA from 1 species
GAUGAACGCUGGCGGCGUGCCUAAUACAUGCCAGUAGAACGCUGAAGGAAGGAGCUUGCUCUUUCCGGAUGAGUUGCGAACGGGUGAGUAACGCGUAGGUAACCUGCCUGGUAGCGGGGGAUAACUUUUGGAAACGAUAGCUAAUACCGCAUAACAGUAGAUGUUGCAUGAUAUCUACUUAAAAGGUGCAAUUGCACCACUACCAGAUGGACCUGCGUUGUAUUAGCUAGUUGGUGAGGUAACGGCUCACCAAGGCGACGAUACAUAGCCGACCUGAGAGGGUGAUCGGCCACACUGGGACUGAGACACGGCCCAGACUCCUACGGGAGGCAGCAGUAGGGAAUCUUCGGCAAUGGACGGAAGUCUGACCGAGCAACGCCGCGUGAGUGAAGAAGGUUUUCGGAUCGUAAAGCUCUGUUGUAAGAGAAGAACGAGUGUGAGAGUGGAAAGUUCACACUGUGACGGUAGCUUACCAGAAAGGGACGGCUAACUACGUG